rnacentral:rRNA from 1 species
UGCGUAGGCGGUCUUAUAAGUCAGAGGUGAAAUCCCUACCGCUUAACGGAGGAACUGCCUUUGAAACUAUAAGACUUGAAAUAGUGUGACGUUGGCGGAAUGAGUAGUGUAGCGGUGAAAUGCAUAGAUAUUACUCAGAACACCUAUUGCGAAGGCAGCUAACGAACAUUAAUUUGACGCUGAGGCACGAAAGCGUGGGUAGCGAACAGGAUUAGAUACCCUGGUAGUCC